AGUGGCGGACGGGUGAGUAACGCGUGGGUAACCUGCCUUACACAGGGGGAUAACAGUUAGAAAUGACUGCUAAUACCGCAUAAGCGCACGGAAUCGCAUGAUUUUGUGUAGAAAAAGAUUUAUCGGGUGUAAAGAUGGACCCGCGUCUGAUUAGCUAGUUGGUGAGGUAACGGCCCACCAAGGCGACGAUCAGUAGCCGGCCUGAGAGGGUGAACGGCCACAUUGGGACUGAGACACGGCCCAAACUCCUACGGGAGGCAGCAGUAGGGAAUAUUGGACAAUGGGGGCAACCCUGAUCCCAGCGACGCCGCGUGAGUGAAGAAGUAUUUCGGUACGUAAAGCUCUAUCAGCAGGGAAGAAAAUGACGGUACCUGACUAAGAAGCACCGGCUAAAUACGUGCCAGCAGCCGC
rnacentral:rRNA from 1 species